CACACACACACACACACACACACACACACAAGCAGACUCAUGCAUGCAUGCAUUGCAUACAGAAACACACGGGCACGUACGCAGACACACACACUCACACACAUUCCCUCUCAGUGCUUCUAGGCGUCUUUUUGGGAUAAUUACGAGAUGUCAUCUUUAUGUGGUGGGCAUAUCCAAUUAUCCUAAUUAGCCGUUGAUGGUGUGUCUGUGGGUCUCUGCCACGUUAGCCAAGUUUUAAUCAGUCUGUUCUUGUUUUUCUGUGUCCAUCUACUGCUUCUGUUCAUUAACCUCAAUGGGCUUUUCAGAGAUUCAGACAGAGACAUUGACAGAGGGCUUCAGAGGUAAGAAGUAUUGAAGUAGUUGGACUUGAGUGGAAAGUUUUGAGAUGUGUCUUGAACUUUAACAGUCAAGAUAAAAAUAGGAUAAUAAGGAAGAAUGUUAUAGAUUUUUCUUUGUGCUUUGUGACGCAUUACAGCUGUGUGUGUGUGUGUGUUUGUAUGUGUUUGUGUGUGUCCACGAAUCAGAUCAGAUUUAUAUCUUUAACUGAAAACUUUCCAAGCAGGGGGGAAUGAUGCAUUCUGAUCCAUUCUUACUUACCCAACAAAAGCAUCAGGGCGAAGUUAAAAGAUUAGAAAUCGACGUCAACAUCAGUGCUGGCUGGGGAUGCACAACACAACAGCUUACCCAAUCAUGAGACAUACAGACCCUAAUGCUCACCAUCCCUGUGGUGCUGCACACCUAACACACACACACAAACACACACACUGCUCCCUCCUCAUUCAUUGUCUCAAUAGAGGCAGUGCUGGUCUCUGCGUUGUUCAUCAGUCACAGAACCCGUCUUAACUGGGUCAAGACCGCUGGGGGCCCAGGAAACCGGUACCUCCUCUUUGUUUCUCUCAUCCUCUCUGACUCUGACUGGACUGUCAGCGGCUCUGGGAUACAGCUGGAGCCGGGGCAUCACUCACACUUAAUAGAGACCCUAGAAAUUCAGAGCAGAGGAGGAACAUGCAACGUUUAACAGUUUAACCAUUGUUACUUUUGAAAUACGCAGUGCGGCCUGGAUUUACAGCCUGUACAGGAGCUAUUACCACAGUCAAUCAUUCUGUUUAUUACUACUCUGUAUCAUUAUGGAGAUCUUGGAAUCAUUUUUAACAUAAAAGGAGUUUUUUUUCAAUUGUGAACAUGCAUUGGUCAAAACUGAAGUCACAUUGUCAAAACUCUUCACACAGUCAACGAAACAGAAGUGUAUGUGGACCAAACUGUGAAUAAUUUUUCAUUGCUUUCACACAAAAUGCAUUCAAUGACCACAUUCUCCGAAAUCCAUUAACUUAUUUGUCAUUCAUACUCCACCACCUGCAAAACUAUAUAUUUGCAGCACAUGUUUUCAAAUGCUAACACACUGUUUCCAAAACUGUUAAAAACACAUUCAAAACAGAACGAUGGAAAUGUCGUGCAUUUCUGCAGUAACCAGAUUGAAACAUAUAGAAAAUCUCAGCAGAAUAUUUACCGUUUUACCCAAUUGUUUACACAUUAAAAUUAGAACUUGAAACGCAAUCACCGAAACCUGAAACUCAAGUACCAAAUACCUAAACCAAGUCUGCAAAAUUGCAAGCACAAUUCCUGCUUUACACUCAGUUUUCAAUUCUAAAUCACACUUUUUGCAAAACACUACACACAGUUCUCUCCAUUAGGCACAACAUUCAAAAUUAAAAUGUCUUUAGACCCUUUGGAAAGCAACGCCAAUCACAAUGCCAAGCUCUGUACACCAAUUGGCAACACCCACUCCUCACAGGUGUAAACACUAGUUACAGAAUUGUUCACUUAGAAAUCAGAGCUUAAGCACUAUAAAAGGCCACAGAUGAGCUCUCCUGUUUUGGAGGAAAAUGGAAAUCAAUGGUGAAGCAAGAGCUAGAGGUGAAGGAGUGAGAGUAAGAGGAGGAAGAGGAGGACGAGGACGAGGAAGGACAGUUGUCUCAGAUGAGAUCAGGGCCACAUUGGUUGUCCAUGUGCUCAACCAUGGAUUGAGUAUGAGGCAGGUUGGGCAGAGUUCAGCUACACGCUACACGGUUGCGUCUAUCAUCCGUACAUUCACAAAUGACAACCGGUAAGUUACCUACCAUCUACACUAUGCUCUUUAUGUAUGGAUACUGCAGUCCGACAUAUCAGUAGGCCGAUGUUACUCAGUGAUUGUUGGCCAAUGUUACAGUAAUGUCAUUUCAUAUUGAAAGAAAAAUGAUUAUUUUACUUACUGCAAUCAAUCAUAUCAUAUUUGUGGAUCUUCUGCAGAACUGAGAGACCUCCAGGCCGUGGUGGAAGACACCGGCUGUUCACACCAGAACAGGAGACCGCUCUUGUGAACAUGGUGGUGGCAAACAAUACCAUUAGACUACAAGAAAUCCAGAACCACAUAAUUGCAGACAACACAAUAUUCAAUAACAUUCACCAGGUGGGCUUGUCUACAUUGGACCGUGUAUUACAGCGCAACCGAAAACAGGUCUACAGGGUGCCCUUUGAGCGAAACUCAGAGAGUGUUAAAGAACAGCUCUAUGAAUAUGUGCAAAGAGUCUUGGAGCUGGAUGCUGCUGCAAUUCAGCACGUUUAUAUUUACAUUGAUGAGGCUGGCUUCAGCCUAGCCAAAAGAAGGGGACAGGGACGGAACAUUAUUGGCCACGGUGCCAUUGUGAAUGUUCCUGGACAGCCGUUAGCCCACAAGGCGUUCUCCAUCACCAUGCCAACCUUGGUCCCUACAACACUGCCCUUCUCAUCACAUUCCUGGACACACUACAUGGCAUCCUCAUUCCAGACGACCAGAGGGGUGGACCACAGCAGCCCAGGUAUGUUGUCAUCUGGGACAACAUGAGUUUCCACCGGGCUGCUCUGGUCCACAACUGGUUUAUCGACCAUCCACAAUUUAUUGUUCUAUACAUUUACAUUUUAGUCAUUUAGCAGAUGCUCUUAUCCAGAGCGACUUACAGUAGUGAAUGCAUACAGUUCAUGCAUUUUAUAUACCUCCCACCAUAUUCCCCAUUCCUAAACCCAAUUGAAUAGUUUUUUCGGCAUGGCGAUGGAAGGUGUAUGACUGCCAUCCCCUCGCACGCAUGCCUCUUCUCCAGGCAAUGGAGGAUGCAUGUGGUGAAGUUGAUGUGUGGGUUUUCGGCGGCUGGAUCCGUCACUCCAGAAGAUUCUUUCCUCGCUGUUUAGCCAGGGAGAACAUCGCUUGUAAUGUAGAUGAGGUGCUGUGGCCAGACCAAAAUAGGAGGCAGGAUGUAUUUUUUCUUACAUUUUGCAUGUGGUUUUGUUUUUUUGUGUUUAGAGUUUUGAAAAAAUUAGCUACUUUCAUAUUUUUGGGGUACAGAAAACCCUUUAUAUUACUGAAUGUUUUUCCUGGUUUUCUCCUAUUGGAAAUAAAUGGCAAUGUUUUUGUUA